GAUGAACACUGGCGGCGUGCCUAAUACAUGCAAGUCGAGCGAACGGACGAGAAGCUUGCUUUUCUGAUGUUAGCGGCGGACGGGUGAGUAACACGUGGAUAACCUACCUAUAAGACUGGGAUAACUUCGGGAAACCGGAGCUAAUACCGGAUAAUAUUUUGAACCGCAUGGUUCAAAAGUGAAAGACGGUCUUGCUGUCACUUAUAGAUGGAUCCGCGCUGCAUUAGCUAGUUGGUAAGGUAACGGCUUACCAAGGCAACGAUGCAUAGCCGACCUGAGAGGGUGAUCGGCCACACUGGAACUGAGACACGGUCCAGACUCCUACGGGAGGCAGCAGUAGGGAAUCUUCCGCAAUGGGCGAAAGCCUGACGGAGCAACGCCGCGUGAGUGAUGAAGGUCUUCGGAUCGUAAAACUCUGUUAUUAGGGAAGAACAUAUGUGUAAGUAACUGUGCACAUCUUGACGGUACCUAAUCAGAAAGCCACGUCUAACUACGUG
rnacentral:rRNA from 1 species